rnacentral:lncRNA from 1 species
UUCAACCAACUGACAGCUUUGAACUCUCCUGCUUAUUUACAGCAGCAACAACUACUACCAUUCAGCCAGCUAGCUGGUGUGAGCCCUGCUACCUUCUUGACACAACCACAAUUGUUGCCGUUCUACCAGCACGCUGCGCCUAACGCUGGCACCCUCUUACAACUGCAACAAUUGCUGCCAUUCAACCAACUUGCUUUGACAAACCCAACAGCAUUCUACCAACAACCCAUCAUUGGUGGUGCCCUCUUUUAGAUUUCUUAUGAGUUAUAGUUCAAUAAUAAAGUUUUUUGUCUGAUGUUUGUGGCUUCCCAGAAAUAAGAAAGUACAUUUCUAGAUUCUUAUGUGCUUCUAGUCUCCAAAUGUGGUUGAUAGUUAUUUUGCUCUAAGAUUAGCAGUAAUGAAGUAUAAAUCAUCGUUGUGGUGUGCUACUCGGUUAAUUGAGCAUUAACACACACAAACAUGACGAGGAUGGUAUAAUCUCCAAAAAUGUGUACUUUGUUAGGUGGGACCCUAUAGCCUUGCAGAAUGUGCUACGUUAGGCAUGCCAAUGGAAACGUGUGACACAUACGUUUUGUGAAUCUGUUGAUAUUAUAUGUGCUUUUAUAUUACCAUAUUUUAUUAAAAUACUAAUAUUUAUUACUAGUAAGAUAUAACAUUCUAUCUAGCUUAAAAACUAACCAUAAAUAUUCCAUAAUAACUAGAUUUACCAAACUAAUAUACUAAAUAUACAUAAUAAAUAUAAAAUUAACAAGACAAUAAUUAAUAUUUAUGAGCUUAAUUUAUUUAGACAUUAUGGUUGGUCGACGAUAAUCAUGCUAACUUUCCGUAAUUGCUUGAUUGUAAAUAUGCUUAGAAUAAUGCCUCUUUGUUCUACAUGGCAAAUAGGGACCAUUAUGGUGUAACACCCCGGGAUCCACAAACACCCCGAAAUGCUACUAAACUACACAACUAACCUUCAUAUAUAAAAUUUCGACAGCAUCUCCUUUGAAAAUUUGCAUAAACGUGGAAGCAACAGAGUAUAAACAGAUAUCAUGAUAAGGAAACAUACUAGACAUUAAUAAUCUGCUAGAAAUGGGAAGAUAACCAUAACGACAUAAACUGAAUUAACUAGUGUGCACAACUUGUUAAAAACAAACAUCGUUGACAAGAAGUUUCUAAUUAAAUCAUGGUUGUGCCUGGGCAGCGUUAUUAUGAGAGUGAAGGUGGACGUGAUGCUACUUCCCUCAUUCCCAACAUGAAUCAAGUACCUGCAUUGAGUAAUGCAAGAGUGAGAUGAAAACAUCUCAGCAAGUAAAUUGUUUUGACGAGAUAUUUAAACCAAAAAAAUUGAUUUAAUCAACAUUUUAAAGGGAUCACAAUUGAGAUCAGAAAUACUUGUAGAUAUAGAACUCAAUAGUCCCAAAAUAACCAAUGCCAUCUCAUUUCCUCAAACAACCACAAUAGGUUGUAUAACACUUCCCUGCGUCAUCAAUACCUGCAAAUAUCACUUCAAUGUAUGCAUAGGAAUGCAAUGUUUAAGUCCUCUGCAUUCAUACUUCUUAGAGUAUAAAACCACACCAUCUGCAAAUAUCACUUCAAUGAAUGCAUAUGAAUGCAAUGCAUAUGUCCUCUGCCUUCAUACCUCUAAGGGUAUGAAGCCGCAUCGUACCCCUCCUCGGGCAACGUACGAUGCUAAGUUGUACCGGUACGGUCGGACCAUAGGUCACGACAAAACUUCAGAUGCAAGUGAAUCAUGACAUGUAUAUGGCAUGCUGCAUUUAUCAAUAUACUUCACUUCCUUCAUAUACAAUACAAACCUAAAAUAAUACUUCGUUUACCUUCAGAUACAAUACAAACCUCAAAUAAUACUUCAUUCACCUUCAGGGGUGUUUAUUAAUCUCGUGGGUCAUACUCAAAUCAUCAUCAUCAUCAAUGAUGUUUAAGCAUCAGUAUAAUACAAUCAAGUAAAGCAUCACCAUAGAGUUCAAUUAUGAAAGAAUUCGAUGAUUCUGAAUAUUAGAGUGUAUGCGAUGAAACAACAAAGUCAAAACGGUAGCAACCACCUCUACAUUCACUUGCCUUCAUCGAAGAAGAAAAAGGUACUAGGCAUGAUUCGGAGUGUAGACACCUGCUGUGGGGCUUAAAACUUAGUACAAAUAUUCCAUAAACAUUUGCCAACAAUUAACAAAUCGCUCCUACACUUGAAACCAAGACCCGGUGGAAUGACUCCCACCCUGAACCACAUGCCAAACAACAAUAGUGUUGUUUGUUAAUUUCUAUCUUUAAAAUUAUAACAGUGGUGAUAUCAAACAAAUACUCUAUACGUUUCUACACAAAAUACUCUACAACUUCGGUAUUCAAUGGAUAAUUAAAUUUUGCCAUCUAUAAGUUCUAAAACAUCUGACAAGAUAACUGACUGAAUCUGUUUCAGACAACAGCAUAGUUAACUUCAAAAUUCGAUAUCUCCCUAACUCCUCAACAAAAAAUUAUGAAAUUAUGCUGACAGUAAGAACUUUUAUCCCUCUACAAAAGUCUCCAUAGUUGAAAGAGCCAAUUCGGCCAUUUACUAGAUGAAACCUACCAGUUAACGGACCCGCUCAUUUUUGUCAAGCAAACAAGAACCCUUAUAUAUCAAAGAGUAGUGGAUUUGAAUUUGUCUAAUAUGAAGUUUACGGGCUUGGCUCAUUUAAAGUAUUUAAUAAUUCUGAAAGACAAGAUUAAACUAACUAUGUAUGAUCCUUUAGCACCGUACAGAUGGUCGAUGGGACAGUUACAUGGUUUAUAUAGAUGGACCUAUCUAUAUUCCUUCAGUGGUUGAGAAAAAAGUAAAGGUGUGUCACACUCACGUGUGCGCCGCCUCCGCCGAGACGAGGCAUGGCGUUGCAAGGUGAGGCAUGGCAUGGUGUAGCACGAUAGCAGUCAUGGUCGUGGCACAGUGUAGCACUGUUGUGGAUAGAUAGGUAAACUAUUGUUGUAGUUAGAGUGCAUGAGUUUUUGAAUGCAACACUAGAAUUUUCACAAUUUAACUUAAUUAAGAAGUUAUAUCUUGAUGACACAGAGUUACCUGACCAUUGAUCUCACAUGCCCUUUUAGCUCUCUCGUUCUCUAGACUCACCCUGACUAUUUAAGUCUCUUGACUCGCCAAUAUAAACACCAUCCUAUCAUUUGCUCUAGAAUACUUCUGUGUCACAACUCAACUGUCAGAUGAGUACUCCAUUACAGCACUUACGUACACGAGUUCUAUGAGAGCAGGCCUCCAAAAUGAAUAUCUACUUAGAUGAAGGACGACAAUCGUGUUCUAGGGAAAUAUCAGCGACACAACUCCUUACUUCCUUCGCUUCUUCCUAGUGUUUUUUGUUGUGAUUGAGUCGACACAGCAACAACACUGCACUAUUACAACCAGUACGACUAUAUCAACUAGCAAUGUCUUCCUUAUAUGUUACUAUUUAUUUUGCACAUAUUCAUUAUGUUUAAAUCACAUAGGCACCUUUCUAUUGGCAUCAAAAAAUUAGUAUCAACUUUCUAGAUUAAAAUGAAACUAAAAGUACAUAAAUUUCUAUCGGUGGGGAUCGAGUGAUUCUUUAAACCGAUUAUUACACAAGUUAACCACACUAAAAUUAACAUUGGUGAAUCGUGCCAUGAUUUUUUUUCUAGUGGAAAAUAGCCAAACCAAGCAACACAUAUGUGGCUAUCGUUACACAUGUGUAAAGGUAUUGCAUCACACUAUUGUCACCCAUGUAUUUGGACAAUACCGAGAGGAAAAACCACUUAUUUAUUGUAUUUUAUCAAGUUUGUCUUGCUUACGUAUAAAAUUAUAACCCAACAAAGUAAUCACUAAACGUCAAAACCAACUAGAUAUCAUGUCAUCUCUACCUUAUCUUACUAAUAUUCUUUUUGCAAAAUCCAAAAUUAAUCUUGCACAAGCACAAGGACUGAGAUGUGUAUAAAUAUCUCUUAAAUUAGUAGCUAAUAUAUCGCACAUAUUAUUUAGACCAACUAGCAACAUAGAAAGCACAAUAGUGUACCAACAAUGGCAGCCAAAAUAUUUUGCCUCCUUAUGCUCCUUGGUAUUUCUGCAAGUGCUGCUACGGCGACCAUUUUCCCGCAAUGCUCACAAGCUCCUAUAGCUUCCCUUCUUCCCCCGUACCUCUCACCAGCGGUGUCUUCGGUAUGUGAAAACCCAAUUCUUCAACCCUACAGGAUCCAACAGGCAAUCGCAGCUGGCAUCUUACCUUUAUCACCCUUGUUCCUCCAACAAUCAUCAGCCCUAUUACAGCAGUUACCUUUGGUGCAUUUAUUGGCACAAAACAUCAGGGCACAACAACUACAACAACUUGUGCUAGCAAACCUUGCUGCCUACUCUCAGCAACAGCAGUUUCUUCCAUUCAACCAACUAGCUGCAUUGAACUCUGCUUCUUAUUUGCAACAACAACAACUACCAUUCAGCCAGCUACCUGUUGCCUACCCCCAGCAAUUUCUUCCAUUCAACCAACUGGCAGCAUUGAACUCUCCUGCUUAUUUACAGCAGCAACAACUACUACCAUUCAGCCAGCUAGCUGGUGUGAGCCCUGCUACCUUCUUGACACAACCACAGUUGUUGCCGUUCUACCAGCACGCUGCGCCUAACGCUGGCACCCUCUUACAACUGCAACAAUUGCUGCCAUUCAACCAACUUGCUUUGACAAACCUAGCAGUGUUCUACCAACAACCCAUCAUUGGUGGUGCCCUCUUUUAGAUUUCUUAUGAGUUAUAGUUCAAUAAUAAAGUUUUUUGUCUGAUGUUUGUGGCUUCCCAGAAAUAAGAAAGUACAUUUCUAGAUUCUUAUGUGCUUCUAGUCUCCAAAUGUGGUUGAUAGUUAUUUUGCUCUAAGAUCAGCAGUACAACAACAACAACAACAACAACAACAACAACAACAAAGCCUUUUUGUCCCAAGCACGUUGGGGUAGGCUAGAGAUGAAACCCCGUAUGAAAACCUCAGAGCUCAACCCCCAAAGAACAGAAAAGGGAAACAAAGGCAAAGGAGAACCGAAAACAACGAAACGGGGAAACACAUAAAAGAGAUAAAACCCACAAGGACCAGCAAGAUCUAAAAUGGACACAAGAAAAGGUCAAACGAUUAAGGAGGAAAAGCGAAACUAUCAAUCAGGGUUCUGGCACGUGAAUUGCACACUUCCACCCCUUCCUAUCUGCGGCGAGCUCUUUGUCAAUAUUCCACUCCUUCAGGUCUCUCUUCACAGCCUCUGUCCACGUCAAAGUUGGUCGACCUCUACCUCUCUUCACAUUUUCGGGACGCCUAAUUAUUCCGAUAUGCACUGGUGCCUCUUCAGGUCUUCGUUGGAUAUGUCCAAACCAUCUCAAGCGAUGUUGCAUAAGCUUCUCCUCAAUUGGCGCCACUCCUACUCUCUCUCGUAUAUCAUCAUUCCGGACUCGAUCUCUCCUUGUGUGGCCACAUAUCCAGCGCAACAUACGCAUCUCUGCCACACUUAGUUGUUGGACAUGUCGUCUUUUAGUGGGCCAACAUUCUGCUCCAUACAACAUAGCCGGCCGGAUUGCUGUCCUGUAGAAUUUGCCUUUUAGUUUGCGUGGCACCCGGUGGUCGCAUAAGACACCCGCAGCUUGUCGCCACUUCAACCAUCCGGCUUUAAUUCUAUGACUGACAUCCUCAUCGAUGUCUCCCUCCUUUUGAAGCAUUGAUCCUAAGUAACGAAAAGUGUCUUUCUUGGGUACCACUUGCCCAUCAAGACUAACAUCGCCAUCCUCAUACCCCAUGGCACUGAAAUCACACUUCAUAUACUCUGUUUUAGACCUACUAAGCCUAAAACCUUUUGCUUCCAGCGUCUGCCUCCACAAUUCCAACUUUUGAGAAACACCACUCCUACUCUCCUCAAUAAGUACCACAUCAUCGGCAAAAAGCAUACACCACGGUAAAACUCCUUGUAUGUCCCUUGUGACCUCAUCUAUCACCAAAGCGAAAAGAUAAGGGCUCAAAGCCGACCCUUGAUGUAGUCCUAUGUUAAUUGGAAAGUCAUCGGUGUCUCCAUCACUUGUUCGGACACUUGUCACAACAUUAGUGUACAUAUCUUUAAUAAGAUUAAUGUACUUUGUUGCUACUUUGUGUUUUUCCAAGGCCCACCACAUUACACUCCUAGGUACUUUGUCAUAAGCCUUCUCCAAGUCUAUGAAGACCAUAUGCAGGUCUUUCUUUUGUUCUCUGAAUCUCUCCAUAAGUUGUCUUAGUAAGAAAAUGGCCUCCAUAGUUGAUCUCCCGGGCAUGAAACCAAACUGAUUUUGGGUCACGCUCGUCAUCUUUCGCAGGCGGUGUUCAAUGACUCUCUCCCAUAGCUUCAUUGUAUGGCUCAUGAGCUUAAUUCCACGGUAAUUAGUACAACUUUGAACAUCUCCUUUGUUCUUGAAGAUUGGUACUAAUGUACUCCGCCGCCACUCGUCGGGCAUUCUGUUUGCCCGAAAGAUGGUGUUGAAAAGCUUAGUCAGCCAUACUAUCGCUAUGUCUCCAAGACAUCUCCAUACCUCGAUAGGGAUACCAUCAGGGCCCAUCGCCUUUCCUACCUUCAUCCUUUUUAGCGCCUCCUUAACUUCAUAUUCUUGUAUCCUUCGUACAAAACCCCUGUUGUUGUCAUCGAAUGGUUCGUCCAAUUCUAUUGUAGCACUCUCAUUCCCUCCAUUGAACAAUUUGUUGAAGUACUCCUUCCAUCUGUUCUUGAUCUCUUCACUCUUCACUAAUAGUUGGUUUGCUUCGUCCUUGAUGCAUUUGACUUGGUUGACAUCCCUUGUCUUCCUUUCACGAAUCUUGGCCAUCCUAUAGAUAUCCUUUUCUCCCUGCUUUGUGUCCAGCCGUUGAUAAAGGUCGUCAUAGGCUUGACCCCGGGCUCUACUAACCGCUCGCUUUGCAGACUUCUUCGCUAUCCUGUACUUCUCUAUGUUUUCUGCACACUUGUCAUGAUGUAAGCGUUUGUAGCAAUCUUUCUUCUCCUUGAUAGCCUUUUGGACAUCUUCGUUCCACCACCAAGUGUCUUUAACUUCCCUUCUGUUCCCUUGACUCAACCCAAACUCUUCUGAAGCUAUCUUUCGGAUGCAUGUCGCCAUCUUCCUCCACAUGAUAUUUGCGUCUUCCUCUCCUGCCCAAGGGCCCUCCUCGAUAACUCUCUUCUUGAAAGUUUGGGCCACAUCCCCUUUAAGCUUCCACCACUUUGUUCUAGUGACCUUGUUAUGCUUAUUUCGUUGUAAACGAAUCUUAAAACGGAAGUCAGCAACGACAAGCUUAUGUUGGGUUACCACACACUCUCCAGGUAUAACCUUGCAAUCUAAGCAGGCAUGCCUGUCCUCUUUUCUCAAGAGGACGAAAUCAAUCUGGCUAGUGUGUUGGCCACUACUGAAGGUCACCAGGUGGGAUUGCCUCUUCUUAAAGAAAGUGUUUGCUAUAAACAUGUCAUAGGCUAGGGCAAAGUUCAGGAUUUCCUCUCCUUCUUGAUUCCUAGUCCCAAAGCCGAAGCCUCCAUGUACACCCUCGAAACUGGUGCUAGAUGUACCCACAUGGCCAUUGAGAUCUCCUCCUAUGAAGAGCUUCUCGCCAACUGGCACACUACUAACCAUGUCCUCUAGGCCUUCCCAGAACUCUCUCUUUGAGUUCUCAUUAAGGCCUACUUGAGGAGCAUACGCGCUGAUAACAUUGAGAACCAAGUCUCCAAUGACCAGCUUGACUAGGAUGAUUCUAUCUCCUACCCUCUUAACAUCUACUACCCCAUCUUUGAGGCUCUUGUCGAUCAAGACGCCUACUCCAUUCUUGUUUGUUGCAGUCCCCGUGUACCACAACUUGAAACCUGUACCUUUCACUUCCUUCGCCUUCUGUCCCUUCCACUUGGUCUCUUGAACGCAUAAAAUAUUUACCCGUCUCCUCACCGCAACGUCAACUAUUUCUCGUAACUUACCUGUUAAGGAACCUACGUUCCAACUGCCUACACGGACCCUAGUUGGCUCGACUAGCUUCCUUACCCUUCGCACCCGCCGAGGAAGAUGCAAAGACCCUUGCUCAUUUUUCACUACACCCGGGCGCCGAUGUAGCGCGCCACUAAGGAUGCGACGACCCGAUCCUUGCUCACUUAUCACCGGCUCCAGAUCAAGAGACAGCGCGUCACUUGAGGGGUGACGACCCGGCCCUUGCUCAUUUAACACCAUACCCGGGUUCCGAUAUGGCGCGUCGCUAAGAGGGUUACGCCCCAACGGUUUUCUUUGUGGUUUCAUCUCCAUAAGAUUUGGCUGGUUUUUUACGUUGGUUUGCCGGACCUAACACAACCCUCCUCCUUUACCGGGCUUGGGACCGGCUAUGUUGAAACGACUCAAGGAAGUCUUCCAAUCAACAUAGGCGGAGUUUAAGAUCAGCAGUAAUGAAGUAUAAAUCAUCGUUGUGGUGUGCUACUCGGUUAAUUGAGCAUUAACACACACAAACAUGACGAGGAUGGUAUAAUCUCCCAAAAUGUGUACUUUGUUAGGUGGGACCCUAUAGCCUUGCAGAAUGUGCUACGUUAGGCAUGCCGAUGGAAACGUGUGACGCAUACGUUUUGUGAACCUGUUGAUAUUAUAUGUGCUUUUAUAUUACCAUAUUUUAUUAAAACACUAAUAUUUAUUACUAGUAAGAUAUAACAUUCUAUCUAGCUUAAAAACUAACCAUAAAUAUUCCAUAAUAACUAGAUUUACCAAACUAAUAUACUAAAUAUACAUAAUAAAUACAAAAUUAACAAGACAAUAAUCAAUAUUUAUGAGCUUAAUAUAUUUAGACAUUAUGGUUGGUCGACGAUAAUCAUGCUAACUUUCCGUAAUUGCUUGAUUGUAAAUAUGCUUAGACUAAUGCCUCUUUGUUCUACAUGGCAAAUAGGGACCACUCUAGGAGACUAGGAUGUUGCUUGAGAUGAAAAUGUCAGAAUUGGUGUAGACUAAUUUCUAUCGGCCGCUGACUUCACUAUUGUAACCAUUAUAUCUUGGGUAAAUUAUAUACGAUUAUCCAGCCAAAGGGCCCAGAUGAUAAAAAACAAUUUUUAAUUGCUAUUUUAGGACAAAUGAAUUAGCAUGGUUCGAAGGAUUACGACCUUCCCCCCAUGACCUUUGUCAUACUGCUUUAGUCUAAUCGACAAAACCAAGAUUAGUUAUCAUCGAAGAAGUUCAUAAGCGAAGUUGUGACGAUGAAAGGAACAUGGUGGUAAUUGGACGAACGACGACACCUUUGUCUAAGAAUGGCAUCUAGAAGAAAUCUCAGACAAAAUAAGACAUGAAUGGCUUGUCAGUACAGCGCAAAUACUGAAACAUGCGCCCUUGAAUAUGAAACAUUUAUAUGUAAGAGGAAGGGAUAAAAAAACUAAUUACUCGUGCCUAAUGAUUUUAUUGGGAAUUUUAAGGCGAGACUUAUGGCAAAGGGUUAUACCAAAAAUAGGGGAGAGAUUAUUUCGAUACUUAUUCACUUGUUUCCCUUCAAAUGGCCAUACAUGUGUUACUUUUUUUGGCUGCCUCGCAUGGUCUUAUCGUUCAUCAGAUGAAUGUUAAGACUGCUUUCCCAAAUGGAGAGCUUAAGGAACAGAUCUACAUUGACUAGCCUAGUGGUUUUAUAUCAAAUGGUAAAGAGGAAAAGGUGUUUAAAAUAAUUGUUUGGUUUAAAACAAGCACCAAAGCACAUGAGAAAAUCGAUAAAGUUCUGACUUUGGCUAAAUUUGUUGUAAAUGAAGUUGAUAAAUGUGUCCAUUACCAGUUUGACAGGGGCGAAGGUAUGACCUUUUUAUAUGUGGACAAAAUAUUAACCUUUUGUAACGAUGUUAAUAUGAUAGAAGAAGUAAAGUAAUUUUUGUCUAGUAACUUAGAAAUAAACAAUCUGGGAGAGGCUAAUGUUGUUCUUAACAAAGAGAUGUUGAGAGAAGGAGGAAAUAGAGGGUUACUCUUGUGCAAUCCUAUUAGGUUGAAAAGUCGCUGAGUCGCUUUGGAUAUAGUGAUUACACGUCUGGUCCAACAACUUAUGACCCAAGUGUGUUAUUAAGGAAAAAUCAUAUAAUUGCAUAUGAUCAAUUGAGAUAUUGUCAAAUCAUGGUCUUCUCAUAUAUUUGGCAAGCCCAACGAUGUCUCAUAUCUGAUUUGUUAUGAGCAAACUCAGUUGCCUUGUCUCCAAUCUAGGGGAGGAUCAUGACAUGCCCUAGAGAGGGUAUUGCGCUUUCUCAAAGGGAUAUGAGUAAUGUCAUUUACUAUACUAGGCACCUAAGAGUACCAGAGUGUUAUAGUCAUGCAAAUAGGAUAUCUGAUGUUGAUUAGAUUUAUGCCACAAGUAGACUUGUGUGCUUCCUUGGAGGUGUGAUUGUUUCAUGGAAGUCUUGUAAGUAGACCAUCUUAACAAGGUCAACAAUAGAAGUAGAACUCACAACAUUAUAUACUACCAAAGUUGAAGUUGAUUGGCUCCGUGAACUCCUUACGGAUUUACCAGUAGUUGAAAAACCAAUACUGGUUAUCUCUAUGAGCUACAAUAAUCAAACAUUUGUAAUCGAAGUAAACAGUUCUAAAGUUAACAUGAUGUCUACAAAGCAUGUAAAAAUGGUUGAAACUGUUAAAACACUAAGAAACUCUAGAUUAAUUAUGUUGGACUAUAUCCAUACAUCGAAUUUGGUAUGCCAGUUUACAGAAGAUUUGUCACAUAAUAUGAUUCAAGGUGCAUCGAGGAAUAUGGGCUUGAGACCCACUUAAUGUCAAUCCAUAGUGGUAGCAGUUUCUAUGUGAUUGGAGAUCCCAUAAAGUAGAAUGGUGAAACAAGCUAGAGAAUGACUGAUGGAGAGACUCCUUAAAUAAAAUCUUGAUAAUUUGAGAUGCACAUUUCUCAUUUGAUGUAUUGUAGGCGAACUAAAAUCUUAAUAUGAUUUGAGUGACUUAUCUAAGCAGGGAUGUUAUCUUACAGAACAUCCUAGAAAGAACACACCUAUAUGAGUUUGCAUGUUAGUCAUAGUCUAUCAUGUGUGGUAAUCUUUAUAUACUCAUGAAAGGCUUGAAGUUUGACUUAUAUGCUUCAAACCAAGGGGGUGCUUGUAACAGUCUAGUACAAGAUAAGAACAUUGGUAAAACUCACUUAACGCAAAAUUGUCAAUUUAAGGCAUAGUUCAUUGUUUAGAUGUGAAUGUGUAAUCCCUGUUCUAGAUGGAUGGUCAACUUAACAGCCUCCACCAAAACCCUGAUAUCUCAAAGAGUAGUGGAUUUGAGUUUGUCUAAUAUGUGGUUUAGAUUUUGGUGGGGAAUUUUAAUAUUUUAUGGGCUUGGCCCAUUUAAGGUAUUUAAUACUUUCAAAAGACAAGAUUAAACAUGUGUGAAUAGUGUCAUGAUUUUUUUCUAGUGCAAAAUAGCCCAACAAAUCAACACAUAUGUGGCUAUCAUUACACAUGUGUAAAGGUAAUGCAUCACACCAUUGUCACCCAUGUAUUUAGAAAAUACCAAGAAGAAAAACAACUUGUUUAUUGUAUUUUAUGGAGAUUAUCUUGCUUACAUAUAAUUAUAACCCAACAAAGUGGUCACUAAAUGUCAAAACCAACUAGGUACCAGGUCAUCUCUAGCUUAUCUUGCUAAUGAUAUUUUUGCAAAAUCCAAAAUUAAUCUUGCACAAGCACAAGGACUGAGAUGUGUAUAAAAAUCUCUUAGAUUAGUAGGUAAUCCAUCACACAAAGCGCAAUAGUGUAGCAAAACUGGCAGUCAAAAUAUUUUGCCUCCUUAUGCUCCUUGCUCUUUCUGCAAGUGCUGCUAACGCGACCAAUUUUCUGCAAUGCUCACAAGAUCCAAUUGCUUCCCUUCUUCCCUCAUACCUCUCACCAGCGACAUCUUCAGUAUGUGAAAACCCAAUUCUUCAACCCUAUAGGAUCCAACAGGCAAUCACAGCAAGCAUCUUACCUUUAUCACCCUUGUUCCUCCAACAACCGCCAGCCCUGUUACAACAAUUACCUUUGGUGCAUUUGUUGGAACAAAGCAUCAAGGCACAACAACUACAACAACCUGUGCUGACAAACCUUGUUGCCUACUCUCAGCAACAAUAGUUUCUUCCAUUCAACCAACUGGCUGCACUGAACUCUGCUGCUUAUUUGCAACAACAACAACAACUUCCAUUCACCCAGCUAGCUGCUGCCUACCCCCAACAAUUUCUUCCAUUCGACUAACUGGCUGCAUUGAACUCUGUUGCUUAUUUACAACAGCAACAACUAAUACCAUGAAACCAGCUAGCUGUUGCGAGCCCUGCUACCUUCUUGACACAACCACAGUUGAUGUCGUUCUACCUGCAAGCUGUGGCUAACGUCGGCACCCUCUUACAACUACAACAAUUGUUGCCAUUCAUCCAACUUGCUUUGACAAAC